UGGAAGGCUCUAGGGGAAUAAAGAUGGAAUGACUUCUAAUUUUUAGGUCCGUAUGAUUUGAAAUACUUGCACACAAACCGCGCGAAAGCGUUCCUGGAAAUCUCAGCCCAAAAAAGGACGUUUAGUAAUUUUAAAAGGGACUAUAGGAUGAAAAACAAUAGUUUUGGCAAUUAAAGUUUGAGAUUCGACGGUGUCGUAGAUCCGUUUGGUCAUCAGGUGUUACGAGCCACACCCAUGUCUAGCUAGAAUAGUAUGUCAGGCUCAGGUUAGAGUAGAAACGGGGAACAAACUGAUGAAAGAAUGAUCAUACCAAGGGAAUUCACUCAGAACUAUCAAGAAUGAUAACGUGCUCCGACUGGAGUGAUUUAGGAACUGCUGGAAGGCUCUAGGGGAAUAAAGAUGGAAUGACUUCUAAUUUUUACGUCCGUAUGAUUUGAAAUACUUGCACACAAAUCACGCAAAAGCGUUCCUGGAAAUCUCAGCCUAAAAAAGGACGUUUAGUAAUUCUAAAAGGGACUACAGGAUGAAAAACAAUAGUUUGGGCAGUUAAAAUUUGAGAUUCGACGGUGCCGUAGAUCCGUUUGGUCAUCAGGUGUUACGAGCGACACCCUUGUCUAGCUAGAAUAGUGUGUUAGGCUCAGACUAGAGAAGAAACGGGGAACAAAGUGAUGAAAGAAUGAUCAUACCGAGGGAAUUCACUCAGAACUAACAAGAAUGAUAACGUGCUCCGACUGGAGCGGUUUAGUAACUGCUGGAAGGCUCUAGGGGAAUGAAGAUGGAAUGACUUCUAAUUUUUAGGUCCGUAUGAUUUGAAAUACAUGCACACAAACCCUGAGAAAGCGUUCCUGGAAAUCUCGGUCGAAAAAAGGAUGUUUAAUAAUUCUAAAAGGGACUACCGGAUGAAAAACAAUAGUUUUGGCAGUUAAAGUUUGUGAUUCGAUGGUGCCGUAGAUCUGUUUGGUCAUCAGGUGUUACGAGCCACACCCAUGUCUAUCUAGAAUAGUGUGUUAGGCUCAGGCUAGAGCAGAAACGGGGAACAGACUUAUGAAAGAAUGAUCAUACCGAGGGAAUUCACUCAGAACUAACAAGAAUGAUAACGUGCUCCGACUGGCGCGGUUUAGGAACUGCUGGAAGGCUCUAGGGGAAUAAAGAUGGAAAGACUUCUAAUUUUUAGGUCCGUAUGAUUUGAAAUACUUGCACACAAACCGCACGAAAGCGUUCCUGGAAAUCUCAGCCUAAAAAGGAUGUUUAGUAAUUCUAAAAGGGACUACAAGAUGAAAAAUAAUAGUUUGGGCAGUUAAAAUUUGAGAUUCGACGAUGCCGUAGAUCCGUUUGGUCAUCAGGUGUUAUGAGCCACACCCAUGUCUAGCUAGAAUAGUGUGUUAGGCUCAGGCUAGAGAAGAAACGGGGAACAAACUGAUGAAAGAAUGAUCAUACCGAGGGAAUUCACUCAGAACUAACAAGAAUGAUAACGUGCUCCGACUGGAGCAGUUUAGAAACUGCUGGAAGGCUCUAAUGGAAUAAAGAUGGAAUGCCUUCAAAUUUCUAGGUCCGUAUGAUUUGAAAUACUUGCACACAAACCGCUCGAAAGCGUUCCUGGAAAUCUCAGCCCAAAAAAGGACGUUUAGUAAUUCUAAAAGGGACUACAGGAUGAAAAACAAUAGUUUUGGCAGUUAAAGUUUGAGAUUCGAUGGUGCCGUAGAUCCGUUUGGUCAUCAGGUGUAACGAGCCACACACAUGUCUAGCUAGAGUAGUGUGCUAGGCUCAGACUAGAGAAGAAACGGGGAACAAAGUGAUGAAAGAAUGAUCAUACCGAGGGAAUUCACUCAGAACUUACAAGAAUGAUAACGUGCUCCGACUGGAGCGCUUUAGUAACUGCUGGAAGGCUCUAGGCGAAUAAAGAUGGAAUGACUUCUAAUUUUUAGGUCCGUAUGAUUUGAAAUACUUGCACACAAACCACGCAAAACCGUUCCUAGAAAUCUCGGUCGAAAAAAGGACGUUUAGUAAUUCUAAAAGGGACUACAGGAUGAAAAACAAUAGUUUUGGCAGUUAAAGUUUGAGAUUCGAUGGUGCCGUAGAUCCGUUUGGUCAUCAGGUGUUACGAGCCACACCCAUGUCUAGCUAGAGUAGUGUGCUAGGUUCAGACUAGAGAAGAAACGGGGAACAAAGUGAUUAAAGAAUGAUCAUACCGAGGGAAUUCACUCAGAACUAACAAGAAUGAUAACGUGCUCCGACUGGAGCGGUUUAGGAACUGCUGGAAGGCUCUAGGGGAAUAAAGAUGGAAUGACUUCUAAUUUUUACGUCCGUAUGAUUUGAAAUACAUGCACACAAACCACGCAAAAGCGUUCCUGGAAAUCUCAGCCUAAAAAAGGACGUUUAGUAAUUCUAAAAGGGACUACAGGAUGAAAAAUAAUAGUUUGGGCAGUUAAAAUUUGAGAUUCGACGCUGCCGUAGAUCCGUUUGGUCAUCAGGUCUUACGAGCCACACCCAUGUCUAGCUAGAAUAGUGUGUUAGGCUCAGGCUAGAGAAGAAACGGGGAACAAACUGAUGAAAGAAUGAUCAUACCGAGGGAAUUCACUCAGAACUAACAAGAAUGAUAACGUGCUCCGACUGGAGCAGUUUAGAAACUCCUGGAAGGCUCUAGGGGAAUAAAGAUGGAAUGACUUCAAAGUUUUAGGUCCGUAUGAUUUGAAAUACUUGCACACAAACCGCGUGAAAGCGUUCCUGGAAAUCUCAACCCAAAAAAGGGCGUUUAGUAAUUCUAAAAGGGACUACAGGAUGUAAAACAAUAGUUUUGGCAGUUAAAGUUUGAGAUUCGAUGGUGCCGUAGAUCCGUUUGGUCAUCAGGUGUAACGAGCCACACCCAUGUCUAGCUAGAGUAGUGUGCUAGGCUCAGACUAGAGAAGAAACGGGGAACAAAGUGAUGAAAGAAUGAUCAUACCGAGGGAAUUCACUCAUAACUAACAAGAAUGAUAACGUGCUCUGACUUGAGCGGUUUAGGAACUGCUGGAAGGCUAUAGGGGAAUAAAGAUGGAAUGACUUCAAAUUUUUAGGUCCGUAUGAUCUGAAAUACUUGCACACAAACCGCGAGAAAGCGUUCCUGGAAAUCUCAACCCAAAAAAGGACGUUUAGUAAUUCUAAAAGGGACUACAGGAUGAAAAACAAUAGUUCUGGCAGUUAUUGUUUGAGAUUCGAUAAUCUCGUAGAUCCGUUUGGUCAUCAGGUGUAACGAGCCACACCCAUGUCUAGCUAGAGUAGUGUGCUAGGCUCAGACUAGAGAAGAAACGGGGAACAAACUGAUGAAAGAAUGAUCAUACCGAGGGAAUUCACUUAGAACUAACAAGAAUGAUAACGUGCUCCGACUGGAGCGGUUUAGGAACUGCUGGAAGGCUCUAGGGGAAUAAAGAAGGAACGACUUCUAAUUUUUAGGUCCGUAUGAUUUGAAAUAUGUGCACACAAACCACGAGAAAGCGUUCCUAGAAAUCUCGGCCCAAAAGAGGACGUUUAGUAUUCUAAAAGGGACUACAGAAUGAAAAACAAUAGUUUUGGCAGUUAAAGUUUGAGAUUUGACGGUGCCGUAGAUCUGUUUGGUCAUCAGGGGUUACGAGCCACACCCAUGUCUAGCUAGAAUAGUGUGUUAGGCUCAGGCUAGAAAAGAAACGGGGAACAAAGUGAUGAAAGAAUGAUCAUACCGAGGGAAUUCACUCAGAACUAACAAGAAUGAUAACAUGCUCCGACUGGAGCGGUUUAGGAACUGCUGGAAGGCUCUAGGGGAAUAAAGAUGGAAUGACUUCUAAUUUUUAGGUCCGUAUGAUUUGAAAUACUUGCACACAAACCGCGCGAAAGCGUUCCUGGAAAUCUCAGCCCAAAAAAGGACGUUUAGUAAUUCUAAAAGGGACUACAGGAUGAAAAACAAUAGUUUUGGCAGUUAAAGUAUGAGAUUCAACGGUGCCGUAGAUCCGUUUGGUCAUUAGGUGUUACGAGCCACACCCAUGUCUAGCUAGAAUAGUGUGCUAGGCUCAGGCUAGAGAAGAAACGGGGAACAAACUGAUGAAAGAAUGAUCAAACCGAGGGAAUUCACUCAGAACUAACAAUAAUGAUAACGUGCUCCGACUGGAGCGGUUUAGGAACUGCUGGAAGUCUCUAGGGGAAUAAAGAUGGAAUGACUUCUAAUUUUUACGUUCGUAUGAUUUGAAAAACUUGCCCAUAAACCGCGCGAAAGUGUUCCUGGAAAUCUCAGCCCAAAAAAGGACGUUUAGUAAUUUUAAAAGGGACUACACGAUGAAAAACAAUAGUUUUGGCAGGUAAAGUUUGAGAUUCGACAGUGCCGUAGAUCCGUUUGGUCAUCAGGUGUUACGAGCCACACCCAUGUCUAGCUAGAAUAGUAUGUUACGCUCAGGUUAGAGAAGAAACGGGGAACAAACUGAUGAAAGAUGAUCAUACCAAGGGAAUUCACUCAGAACUAACAAGAAUGAUAACGUGCUCCGACUGGAGCGGUUUAGGAACUGCUGGAAGGCUCUAGGGGAAUAAAGAUGGAAUGACUUCUAAUUUUUACGUCUGUAUGAUUUGAAAUACUUGCACACAAACAACGCAAAAGCAUUCCUGGAAAUCUCAUCCUAAAAAAGGACGUUUAGUAAUUCUAAAAGGGACUACAGGAUGAAAAAUAAUAGUUUGGGAAGUUAAAAUUUGAGAUUCGAUAGUGCCGUAGAUCCGUUUGGUCAUCAGGUGUUAGGAGCCACACCCAUGUCUAGCUAGAAUAGUGUGUUAGGCUCAGGCUAGAGAAGAAACAGGGAACAAACUGAUGAAAGAAUGAUCAUACCGAGGGAAUUCACUCAGAACUAGCAAGAAUGAUAACGUGCUCCGACUGGAGCAGUUUUGAAACUGCUGGAAGGCUCUAGGGGAAUAAUGAUGGAAUGACUUCUAAGUUUUUGGUCCGUAUGAUUUGAAAUACGUGCACACAAACCCAGAGAAAGUGUUCUUGGAAAUCUCGGCCGAAAAAAGGAUGUUUAAUAAUUCUAAAAGGGACUACAGGAUGAAAAACAAUAGUUUUGGCAGUUAAAGUUUGUGAUUCGAUGGUGCUGUAGAUCUGUUUGGUCAUCAGGUGUUAUGAGCCACACCCAUGUCUAGCUAGAACAGUGUGUUAGGCUCAGGCUAGAGCAGAAACGGGGAACAAACUUAUGAAAGAAUGAUCAUACCGAGGGAAUUCACUCAGAACUAACAAGAAUGAUAACGUGCUCCGACUGGAGAGGUUUAGGAACUGCUGGAAGGCUCUAGGGGAAUAAAGAUGGAAUGACUUCAAAUUUUUAGGUCUGUAUGAUCUGAAAUACUUGCACACAAACCGCGAGAAAGCGUUCCUGGAAAUCUCAGCCCAAAAAAGGACGUUUAGUGAUUCUAAAAGGGACUACGGGAUAAAAAACAAUAGUUUUGGCAGUUAAAGUUUGAGAUUCGAUAAUGCCGUAGAUCCGUUUGGUCAUCAGGUGUAACGAGCCACACCCAUGUCUAGCUAGAGUAGUGUGCUAGGCUCAUACUAGAGAAGAAAUGGGGAACAAACUGAUGAAAGAAUGAUCAUACCGAGGGAGUUCACUCAAAACUAACAUGAAUGAUAACGUGCUCCGACUGGAGCGGUUUAGGAACUGCUGGAAGGCUCUAGGGGAAUAAAGAUGGAAUGACUUCUAAUUUUUAGGUCCGUAUGAUUUGAAAUACAUGCACACAAACCCCAAGAAAGCGUUCCUGGAAAUCUCGCCCCGAAAAACGACGUUUAGUAAUUCUAAAAGGGACUAUAGGAUGAAAAACAAUAGUUUUGGCAGUUAAAGUUUGAGAUUUGACGGUGCCGUAGAUCUGUUUGGUCAUCAGGUGUUACGAGCCACACCCAUUUCUAGCUAGAAUAGUGUGUUAGGCUCAGGCUAGAAAAGAAACGGGGAACAAAGUGAUGAAAGAAUGAUCAUACCGAGGGAAUUCACUCAGAACUAACAAGAAUGAUAACAUGGUCCGACUGGAGCGGUUUAGGAACUGCUGGAAGGCUCUAGGGGAAUAAAGAUGGAAUGACUUCUAACUUUUAGGUCCGUAUGAUUUGAAUUACUUGCACACAAACCGCGCGAAAGCGUUCCUGGAAAUCUCAGCCCAAAAAAGGACGUUUAGUAAUUCUAAAAGGGACUACAGGAUGAAAAACAAUAGUUUUGGCAGUUAAAGUUUGAGAUUCGACGGUGCCGUAGAUCCGUUUGGUCAGCAGGUGUUACGAGCCACACCCAUGUCUAGCUAGAGUAGUGUGCUAGGUUCAGACUAGAGAAGAAAUGUUGGGGAACGUAGCAGAAAUUCAAAAUUUUCCUACGUGUCACCAAGAUCUAUCUAUGGAGAGACUAGCAACGAGGGAAGGAGAGUGCAUCUACAUACCCUUGUAGAUCGCUAAGCGGAAGCGUUCAAGUGAACGGGGUUGAUGGAGUCGUACUCGUCGUGAUUCAGCUCACCGAUGAUCCUAGUGCCGAACGGACGGCACCUCCGCGUUCAACACACGUACAGCUCGACGAUGUCUCCCACGCCUUGAUCCAGCAAGGAGAGAGGGAGAGGUUGAGGAAGACUCCAUCCAGCAGAAGCACAACGGCGUGGUGGUGAUGGAGGAGCAUGGCAAUCCUGCAGGGCUUCGCCAAGCACCUAUGGGAGAGGAGGAGGUGUCACGGGAGGGAGGGAGGCGCCAAGGGCUCAGGUAUAGAUGCCCUCCCUCCCCUCCACUAUAUAUAGGGGCAAGGGAGAGGGGGGAGGCGCAGCCUUGCCCCUUCCUCCAAGGAAGGGGUGCGGCUAAGAGGGGGGGAGGAGUCCAUCCUCCCCAAGGCACCUCGGAGGUGCCUUCCCCCUUUAGGACUCUCCCCUUUUUCCUAUAUCUUGGCGCAUGGGCCUCUAGGGGCUGGUUCCCUUGGCCCAUGUAGGCCCAGGCGCACCCCCUACAGCCCAUGUGGCCCCCCGGGGCAGGUGGCCCCACCUGGUGGGCCCCCGGGACCCUUCCGGUGGUCCCGGUACAAUACCGAUGACCCCGAAACUUGUCCCGAUGGCCGAAACAGGACUUCCUAUAUAUAAAUCUUUACCUCCGGACAAUUCCGGAACUCCUCGUGACGUCCGGGAUCUCAUCCGGGACUCCGAACAACAUUCGGUAACCACAUACAAACUUCCUUUAUAACCCUAGCGUCAUCGAACCUUAAGUGUGUAGACCCUACGGGUUCGGGAGACAUGUAGUCAUGACCGAGAUGUUCUCCGGUCAAUAACCAACAGCGGGAUCUGGAUACCCAUGUUGGCUCCCACAUGUUCCACGAUGAUCUCAUCGGAUGAACCACGAUGUCAAGGACUCAAUCAAUCCCGUAUACAAUUCCCUUUGUCUAGCGGUAUGGUACUUGCCCGAGAUUCGAUCGUCGGUAUACCGAUACCUUGUUCAAUCUCGUUACCGGCAAGUCUCUUUACUCAUUUCGUAACACAUCAUCCCGUGAUCAACCCCUUGGUCACAUUGUGCACAUUAUGAUGAUGUCCUACCGAGUGGGCCCAGAGAUACCUCUCCGUUUACACGGAGUGACAAAAUCCCAAUCUCGAUUCGUGCCAACCCAACAGACACUUUCAGAGAUACCCGUAGUGUACCUUUACAGCCACCCAGUUACGUUGUGACGUUUGGCACACCCAAAGCACUCCUACAGUAUCCGGGAGUUGCACAAUCUCAUGGUCUAAGGAAAUGAUACUUGACAUUAGAAAAGCUUUAGCAUACGAACUACAUGAUCUUGUGCUAGGCUUAGGAUUGGGUCUUGUCCAUCACAUCAUUCUCCUAAUGAUGUGAUCCCGUUAUCAACGACAUCCAAUGUCCAUGGUCAGGAAACCGUAACCAUCUAUUGAUUAACGAGCUAGUCAACUAGAGGCUUACUAGGGACAUGGUGUUGUCUAUGUAUCCACACAUGUAUCUAAGUUUCCUAUCAAUACAAUUCUAGCAUGGAUAAUAAACGAUUAUCAUGAACAAGGAAAUAUAAUAAUAAUCAAUUUAUUAUUGCCUCUAGGGCAUAUUUCCAACAGUCUCCCACUUGCACUAGAGUCAAUAAUCUAGUUCACAUCGAUAUGUGAUUAACACUCAAGGUCACAUUCCCAUGUGACUAACACCCAAGAGUUUACUAGAGUCAAUAAUCUAGUUCACAUUUACCAUGUGAUUAACACUUGAUGAGUUCUGGGUUUGAUCAUGUUAUGCUUGUGAGAGAGGUUAUAGUCAACGGGUCUGAACCUUUCAGAUCCGUGUGUGCUUUACAAAUCUCUAUGUCAUCUCCUAGAUGCAGCUACCACGUUCUAUUUGGAGCUAUUCCAAAUAACUGUUCUACUUGGAGCUAUUCUAAAUUGUUGCUCCAUUAUACGUAUCCGGUAUCUCUACUCAGAGCUAUCCGGAUAGGUGUUAAGCUUGCAUCGACGUAACCCUUUACGACGAACUCUUUUACCACCUCCAUAAUUGAGAAAAUUCCUUAGUCCACUAGUUACUAAGGAUAACUUUGACCGCUGUCCUGUGAUCCAUUCUUGGAUCACUCUUGUACCCCUUGACUGACUCAUGGUAAAGCACACUUCAGGUGCGGUACACAGCAUAGCAUACUGUAGAGCCUAUGUCUUAAGCAUAGGGGACGACCUUCGUUCCUUUCUCUCUAUUCUGCCAUGGUCGAGCUUUAAGUCUUAACUUCAUACCUUACAACUCAGGCAAGAACUCCUUCUUUGACUGAUCCAUCUUGAACACCUUCAAGAUCACGUCAAGGCAUGUGCUCACGUCAAGAUCACGUCGGUAUACCGAUACCUUGUUCAAUCUCGUUACCGGCAAGUCUCUUUACUCGUUCCGUAACACAUCAUCCCGUGAUCAACCCCUUGGUCACAUUGUGCACAUUAUGAUGAUGUCCUACCGAGUGGGCCCAGAGAUACCUCUCCGUUUACACGGAGUGACAAAAUCCCAAUCUCGAUUCGUGCCAACCCAACAGACACUUUCAGAGAUACCCGUAGUGUACCUUUAUAGCCACCCAGUUACGUUGUGACGUUUGGCACACCCAAAGCACUCCUACGGUAUCCGGGAGUUGCACAAUCUCAUGGUCUAAGGAAAUGAUACUUGACAUUAGAAAAGCUUUAGCAUACGAACUACAUGAUCUUGUGCUAGGCUUAGGAUUGGGUCUUGUCCAUCACAUCAUUCUCCUAAUGAUGUGAUCCCGUUAUCAACGACAUCCAAUGUCCAUGGUCAGGAAACCGUAACCAUCUAUUGAUUAACGAGCCAGUCAACUAGAGGCUUACUAGGGACAUGGUGUUGUCUAUGUAUCCACACAUGUAUCUGAGUUUCCUAUCAAUACAAUUCUAGCAUGGAUAAUAAACGAUUAUCAUGAACAAGGAAAUAUAAUAAUAAUCAAUUUAUUAUUGCCUCUAGGGCAUAUUUCCAACAGUCUCCCACUUGCACUAGAGUCAAUAAUCUAGUUCACAUCACCAUGUGAUUAACACUGACAGGUCACAUCACCAUGUGACCAACAUCCAAAGAGUCUUGGGUUUGAUCAUGUUGCUUGUGAGAGAGGUUAUAGUCAACGGGUCUGAACCUUUCAGAUCCGUGUGUGCUUUACAAAUCUCUAUGUCAUCUCCUAGAUGCAGCUACCACGUUCUAUUUGGAGCUAUUCCAAAUAACUGUUCUACUUGGAGCUAUUCUAAAUUGUUGCUCCAUUAUACGUAUCCGGUAUCUCUACUCAGAGCUAUCCGGAUAGGUGUUAAGCUUGCAUCGACGUAACCCUUUACGACGAACUCUUUUACCACCUCCAUAAUUGAGAAAAUUCCUUAGUCCACUAGUUACUAAGGAUAACUUUGACCGCUGUCCUGCGAUCCAUUCUUGGAUCACCCUUGUACCCCUUGACUGACUCAUGGUAAAGCACACUUCAGGUGCGGUACACAGCAUAGCAUACUGUAGAGCCUAUGUCUUAAGCAUAGGGGAUGACCUUCGUUCCUUUCUCUCUAUUCUGCCAUGGUCGAGCUUUAAGUCUUAACUUCAUACCUUACAACUCAGGCAAGAACUCCUUCUUUGACUGGUCCAUCUUGAACACCUUCAAGAUCAUGUCAAGGUAUGUGCUCAUUUGAAAGUACUAUUAAGCGUUUUGAUCUAUCCUUAUAGAUCUUGAUGCUCAAUGUUCAAGUAGCUUAAUCCAGGUUUUCCAUUGAAAACACUUUCCAAAUAACCCUAUAUGCUUUCCAGAAAUUCUACGUCAUUUCUGAUCAUUAAUAUGUCAACAACAUAUAAUCAUCAGAAAUUCUAUAGUGCUCCCACUCACUUCUUUGGAAAUACAAGUUUCUCAUAAACUUUGUAUACACCCAAAAUCUUUGAUCAUCAUCAAAGCAUACAUUCCAACUCCGAGAUGCUCACUCCAGUCCUCAGAAGGAUUGCUGGAGCUUUGCAUACUUAUUAGCAUAUUUCAGGAUAGACAAAACCUUCCAGUUGUAUCACAUACAACCUUUCCUCAAGAAUCGUCGACGAAACAAUGUUUUGACAUCCUAUCUGCAAGAUUUCAUAAAUAAUGCAGUAAUUGUUAAUAUAAUUCCAACAGACUCUUAGCAUCGCUACGAGUGAGAAAGUCUCAUUGUAGUCAACUCCUUGAACUUGUCAAAAAACAUCUUAACGACAAGUCGAGCUUUCUCAAUGGUGACACUUACCAUCAUUGUCUGUCUUCCUUUCAAAAUCCAUAUGUACCUAACAGCCUUACGACCAUCAAGUAGUUCUUCCAAAGUCUACACUUUGUUUUCAUACAUGGAUCCUCUCUCGGGUUUUAUGGCCAUGAGCCAUUUAUCGGAAUCCGGGCCCACCAUUGCUUCUCCAUAGCUCGUAGGUUCAUUGUUGUCUAGCAACAUGACUUCCAAGACAGGAUUACUGUACCACUCUGAAGUAGUACGUAUCCUUGUCACCCUACGAGGUUUGGGAGUGACUUGAUCUGAAGUUUCAUGAUCACUAUCAUAAGCUUCUACUUCAAUUGGUGUAGGUGCCACAGGAACAACUUCCUGUGCCCUGCUACACACUGGUUGAAGUGAUGGUUCAAUAACCUCAUCAAGUCUCCACCAUCCUCCCACUCAAUUCUUUCGAGAGAAACCUUUCCUCGAGAAAGGACCCAAUUCUAGAAACAAUUCAUAUUGCUUUCGGAUCUGAAUUAGGAAGUAUACCCAACUGUUUUGGGUGUCCUAUGAAGAUGUACUUUAUCCGCUUUGGUUUCGAGCUUAAUCCUGAAACUUUUUCACAUAAGUGUCGCAGCCCCAAACCUUUAAGAAACGACAACUUAGGUUUCUCUAAACCAUAAUUCAUACGGUGUCAUCUCAUCGGAAUUACGUGGUGCCCUAUUUAAAGUGAAUGUGGUUGUCUUUAAUGCCUAACCCAUAAACUAUCGUGGCAGUUCGAUAAGAGACAUCAUGGUAUGCAUCAUAUCCAAUAGGGUGCAACUAUGAUGUUCGGACACACCAUCACACUAUGGUGUUCCAGGCGGUAUUAAUUGUGAAACAAUUUCCACAAUGUCUUAAUUGUGUGCCAAAACUCGUAACUCAGAUACUCAUCUCUAUGAUCAUAUCAUAGACAUUUUAUCCUCUUGUCACAAUGAUCUUCUACUUCACUCUGAAAUUACUUGAACCAUUCAACAAUUCAGACUUGUGUUUCAUCAAGUAAAUAUUCUCAACAUCUACUCGAAUCAUCUGUGAAGUAAGAACAUAACGAUAUUCACUGCAUGCCUCAGCACUCAUUGGACUGCACACAUCAAAAUGUGUUACUUCCAACAAGUUGCUAUCUUGUUCCAUCUUACUGAAAACGAGGCUUUUCAGUCAUCUUGCCCAUGUGGUAUGAUUUGCAUGUCCCAAGUGAUUCAAAAAUCAAGUGAGUCAAAACGGUCCAUUUGCAUGGAGUUUCUUCAUGCAUAUACACCAAUAGACAUGGUUCGCAUGUCUCAAACUUUUCAAAAACGAGUGAGCCCAAAGAUCCAUCAAUAUGGAGCUUCUUCAUGCGUUUUAUACCGAUAUGACUUACGUGGUAGUGCCACAAGUAGGUGGUACUAUCAUUACUAUCUUUUGGCAUGAACAUGUGUAUCACUACGAUCGAGAUUUAAUAAACCAUUCAUUUUAGGUGUAAGACCAUUGAAGGUAUUAUUCAAAUAAACAGAGUAACCAUUAUUCUCCUUAAAUGAAUAACCGUAUUGCGAUAGACGUAAUCCAAUCAUGUCUAUGCUCAACGCAAACACCAAAUAACAAUUAUUUAGGUUUAACACCAAUCUCUUUGGUAGAGGGAGCGUGCGAUGCUUGAUCAUAUCAAGCAUGGAAAAACUUACAACACAUAUCGUCAGCUCACCUUUAGCUAGUCUCUGUUUAUUCCGUAGCCUUUUGUUUCGAGUUACUAACACUUAGCAACCGAACUGGUAUCUAAUACCCUGGUGCUACUAGGAGUACUAGCAAAGUACACAUUAACACAAUGUAUAUCCAAUAUACUUCUAUCGACCUUGCCAGCCUUCUUAUCUACCAAGUAUCUAGGGUAAUUCUGCUCUAGUAGUUGUUCCCCUUAUUACAGAAGCACUUAGUCUCGGGUUUGGGUUUUACCUUGGGUUUCUUCACUAGAGCAGCAGCUGAUUUGCCGUUUCAUGAAGUAUCCCUUCUUGCCCUUGCCCUUCUUGAAACUAGUGGUUCCACCAACCAUCAACAAUUGAUGCUCCUUCUUGAUUUCUACUUUCGCGGUGUCAAACAUCGCGAAUACCUCAAGGAUCAUCAUAUCUAUCCCUGAUAUGUUAUAGUUCAUCAUGAAGCUCUAACAGCUUGGUGGCAAUGACUUUGGAGAACCAUCACUAUCUCAUCUGGAAGAUCAACUCCCACUCGAUUCAAGCGAUUGUUGUACUCAGACAAUCUGAGCACAAGCUCAACGAUUGAGCUUUUCUCCCUUAGUUUGCAGGUUAAGAAAGUCAUCGGAGGUCUUAUACCUCUUGACAUGGGCACGAGCCUGAAAUCCCAAUUUCAGCCCUCAAAACAUCUCAUAUGUUUCGCGAUGUUUCAAAAACGUCUUUGGUGCCUCAACUCUAAACCGUUUAACUGAACUAUCACGUAGUUAUCAAAACGUGUAUGUCAGAUGUUCGCAACAACCACAGACAACGUUCGAGGUUCAGCACACUGAGCGGUGCAUUAAGGACAUAAGCCUUCUAUGAAGCAAUGAGGACAAUCCUCAGUUUACGGACCUAGUCCGCAUAAUUGCUACUAUCAACUUUCAACUAAUUUUUCUCUAGGAACAUAUCUAAACAGUAGAACUAUAGCGUGAGCUACGACAUAAUUUGCAAAAACCUUUUGACUAUGUUCAGGAUAAUUAAGUUCAUCUUAUGAACUCCCACUCAGAUAGACAUCCCUCUAGUCAUCUAAGUGAUUACAUGAUCCGAGUCAAACUAGGCCGUGUCCGAUCAUCACGUGAGACGGACUAGUCAUCAUCGGUGAACAUCUUCAUGUUGAUCGUAUCUUCUAUACGACUCAUGUUCGACCUUUCGGUCUUCGUGUUCCGAGGCCAUGUAUGUACAUGCUAGGCUCGUCAAGUUAACCCUAAGUGUUUCGCGUGUGUAAAUCUGUCUUACACCCGUUGUAUGUGAACGUUAGAAUCUAACACCCGAUCAUCACGUGGUGCUUCGAAACACGAACUGUCGCAACGGUGCACAGUUAGGGGAGAACACUUCUUGAAAUUGUUGUAAGGGAUCAUCUUAUUUACUACCGUCGUUCUAAGCAAAUAAGAUGUAUAAACAUGAUAAACAUCACAUGCAAUCAAAUAGUGACAUGAUAUGGCCAUCAUCACUUUGCUCCUUUUGAUCUCCAUCUUCGGGGCUCCAUGAUCAUCAUCGUCACCGGCAUGACACCAUGAUCUCCAUCAUCAUGAUCUCCAUCAUCGUGUCUUCAUGAAGUUGCCUCGCCAACUAUUACUUCUACUACUAUGGCUAACGGUUAGCAAUAAAGUAAAGUAAUUACAUGACGUUUAAGUUGACACGCAGGUCACAAAUGAAUAAAGACAACUCCUAUGGCUCCUGCCGGUUGUCAUACUCAUCGACAUGCAAGUCGUGAUUCCUAUUACAAGAACAUGAUCAAUCUCAUACAUCACAUAUAUCAUUCAUCACAUCCUUUUUGGCCAUAUCACAUCACAUAGCAUACCCUGCAAAAACAAGUUAGACGUCCUCUAAUUGUUGUUUGCAUGUUUUACGUGGCUGCUAUGGGUUUCUAGCAAGAACGUUUCUUACCUACGCAUGAACAACAACGUGAUAUGCCAAUUGCUAUUUACCCUUCAUAAGGACCCUUUUCAUCGAAUCCGAUCCGACUAAAGUGGGAGAGACAGACACCCGCCAGCCACCUUAUGCAACUAGUGCAUGUUUGUCGGUGGAACCGGUCUCACGUAAGCGUACGUGUAAGGUUGGUCCGGGCCGCUUCAUCCCACGAUGCCGCCGAAUCAAGAUAAGACUAGUAACGGCAAGCAUAUUGAACAAUAUCAACGCCCACAACUACUUUGUGUUCUACUCGUGCAAAGAAUCUACGCAAUAGACCUAGCUCAUGAUGCCACUGUUGGGGAACGUAGCAGAAAUUCAAAAUUUUCCUACGUGUCACCAAGAUCUAUCUAUGGAGAUACUAGCAACGAGGGAAGGAGAGUGCAUCUACAUACCCUUGUAGAUCGCUAAGCGGAAGCGUUCAAGUGAACGGGGUUGAUGGAGUCGUACUCGUCGUGAUUCAGAUCACCGAUGAUCCUAGUGCCGAACGGACGGCACCUCCGCGUUCAACACACGUACAGCUCGACGAUGUCUCCCACGCCUUGAUCCAGCAAGGAGAGAGGGAGAGGUUGAGGAAGACUCCAUCCAGCAGCAGCACAACGGCGUGGUGGUGAUGGAGGAGCGUGGCAAUCCUGCAGGGCUUCGCCAAGCACCUACGGGAGAGGAGGAGGUGUCACGGGAGGGAGGGAGGCGCCAAGGGCUCAGGUAUAGAUGCCCUCCCUCCCCUCCACUAUAUAUAGGGGCAAGGGAGAGGGGGAGGCGCAUCCUUGCCCCUUCCUCCAAGGAAGGGGUGCGGCUAAGAGGGGGGGAGGAGUCCAUCCUCCCCAAGGCACCUCGGAGGUGCCUUCCCCCUUUAGGACUCUCCCCUUUUUCCUAUAUCUUGGCGCAUGGGCCUCUAGGGGCUGGUGCCCUUGGCCCAUGUAGGCCAAGGCGCACCCCCCUACAGCCCAUGUGGCCCCCCGGGGCAGGUGGCCCCACCCGGUGGGCCCCCGGGACCCUUCCGGUGGUCCCGGUACAAUACCGAUGACCCCGAAACUUGUCCCGAUGGCCGAAACAGGACUUCCUAUAUAUAAAUCUUUACCUCCGGACCAUUCCGGAACUCCUCGUGACGUCCGGGAUCUCAUCCGGGACUCCGAACAACAUUCGGUAACCACAUACAAACUUCCUUUAUAACCCUAGCGUCAUCGAACCUUAAGUGUGUAGACCCUACGGGUUCGGGAGACAUGUAGUCAUGACCGAGAUGUUCUCCGGUCAAUAACCAACAGCGGGAUCUGGAUACCCAUGUUGGCUCGCACAUGUUCCACGAUGAUCUCAUCGGAUGAACCACGAUGUCAAGGACUCAAUCAAUCCCGUAUACAAUUCCCUUUGUCUAGCGGUAUGGUACUUGCCCGAGAUUCGAUCGUCGGUAUACCGAUACCUUGUUCAAUCUCGUUACCGGCAAGCCUCUUUACUCGUUCCGUAACACAUCAUCCCGUGAUCAACCCCUUGGUCACAUUGUGCACAUUAUGAUGAUGUCCUACCGAGUGGGCCCAGAGAUACCUCUCCGUUUACACGGAGUGACAAAAUCCCAAUCUCGAUUCGUGCCAACCCAACAGACACUUUCAGAGAUACCCGUAGUGUACCUUUAUAGCCACCCAGUUACGUUGUGACGUUUGGCACACCCAAAGCACUCCUACGGUAUCCGGGAGUUGCACAAUCUCAUGGUCUAAGGAAAUGAUACUUGACAUUAGAAAAGCUUUAGCAUACGAACUACAUGAUCUUGUGCUAGGCUUAGNNNNNNNNNNUGAUCAACCCCUUGGUCACAUUGUGCACAUUAUGAUGAUGUCCUACCGAGUGGGCCCAGAGAUACCUCUCCGUUUACACGGAGUGACAAAAUCCCAAUCUCGAUUCGUGCCAACCCAACAGACAUUUUCAGAGAUACCCGUAGUGUACCUUUAUAGCCACCCAGUUACGUUGUGACGUUUGGCACACCCAAAGCACUCCUACGGUAUCCGGGAGUUGCACAAUCUCAUGGUCUAAGGAAAUGAUACUUGACAUUAGAAAAGCUUUAGCAUACGAACUACAUGAUCUUGUGCUAGGCUUAGGAUUGGGUCUUGUCCAUCACAUCAUUCUCCUAAUGAUGUGAUCCCGUUAUCAACGACAUCCAAUGUCCAUGGUCAGGAAACCGUAACCAUCUAUUGAUUAACGAGCUAGUCAACUAGAGGCUUACUAGGGACAUGGUGUUGUCUAUGUAUCCACACAUGUAUCUGAGUUUCCUAUCAAUACAAUUCUAGCAUGGAUAAUAAACGAUUAUCAUGAACAAGGAAAUAUAAUAAUAAUCAAUUUAUUAUUGCCUCUAGGGCAUAUUUCCAACAAGAAACGGGGAACAAACUGAUGAAAGAAUGAUCAUACCGAGGGAAUUCACUCAGAACUAACAAGAAUGAUAACGUGCUUUGACUGGAGCGGUUUAAAAACUGCUGGAAGGCUCUAGGGGAAUAAAGAUGGAAUGCCUUCAAAUUUCUAGGUCCGUAUGAUUUGAAAUACUUGCACACAAACCGCGCGAAAGCGUUCCUGGAAAUCUCAGCCCAAAAAAGGACGUUUAGUAAUUCUAAAAGGGACUACAGAAUGAAAAACAAUAGUUUUGGCAGUUAAAGUUUGAGAUUCGAUGGUGCCGUAGAUCCGUUUGGUCAUCAGGUGUAACGAGCCACACCCAUGUCUAGCUAGAGUAGUGUGCUAGGCUCAGGCUAGAGAAGAAACGGGGAACAAACUGAUGAAAGAAUGAUCAUACCGAGGGAAUUCACUCAGAACUAACAAGAAUGAUAACGUGCUCCGACUGGAGCGGUUUAGGAACUGCUGGAAGGCUCUAGGGGAAGAAAGAAGGAAUGACUUCUAAUUUUUAGGUCCGUAUGAUUUGAAAUACGUGCACACAAACCGCGCGAAAGCGUUCCUGGAAAUCUCAGCCCAAAAAAGGACGUUUAGUAUUCUAAAAGGGACUACAGAAUGAAAAACAAUAGUUUUGGCAGUUAAAGUUUGAGAUUCGACGGUGCCGUAGAUCCGUUUGGUCAUCAGGUGUUACGAGCCACACCCAUGUCUAGCUAGAAUAGUGUGCNNNNNNNNNNNNNNNNNNNNNNNNNCGUAUGAUUUGAAAUACGUGCACACAAACCGCGCGAAAGCGUUCCUGGAAAUCUCAGCCCAAAAAAGGACGUUUAGUAUUCUAAAAGGGACUACAGAAUGAAAAACAAUAGUUUUGGCAGUUAAAGUUUGAGAUUCGACGGUGCUGUAGAUCCGUUUGGUCAUCAGGUGUUACGAGCCACACCCAUGUCUAGCUAGAAUAGUGUGCUAGGCUCAGGCUAGAGAAGAAAAGGGGAACAAACUAAUGAAAGAAUGAUCAAUACGAGGGAAUUCACUCAGAACUAACAAUAAUGAUAACGUGCUCCGACUGGAGCGGUUUAGGAACUGCUGGAAGGCUCUAGGCGAAUAAAGAUGGAAUGACUUCUAAUUUUUACGUCCGUAUGAUUUGAAAUACUUGCACACAAACCACGCAAAAGCGUUCCUGGAAAUCUCGGCCUAAAAAGGACGUUUAGUAAUUCUAAAAGGGACUACAGGAUGAAAAAUAAUAGUUUGGGCAGUUAAAAUUUGAGAUUCGACGGUGCCGUAGAUCCGUUUGGUCAUCAGGUGUUACGAGCCACACCCAUGUCUAGCUAGAAUAGUGUGUUAGGCUCAGGCUAGAGAAGAAACGAGGAACAAACUGAUGAAAGAAUGAUCAUACCAAGGGAAUUCACUCAGAACUAACAAGAAUGAUAACGUGCUCCGACUGGAGCAGUUUAGAAACUGCUGGAAGGCUCUAGGGGAAUAAAGAUGGAAUGACUUCUGAUUUUUAGGUCCGUAUGAUUUGAAAUACGUGCACACAAACCCCGCGAAAGCGUUCCUGGAAAUCUCAGCCCAAAAAAGGACGUUUAGUAAUUCUAAAAGGGACUACAACAUGAAAAACAAUAGUUUUGGCAGUUAAAGUUUGAGAUUUCAUGGUGCCGUAGAUCUGUUUGGUCAUCAGGUGUUACGAGCCACACCCAUGUCUAGCUAGAAUAGUGUGUUAGGCUCAGGCUAGAAAAGAAACGGGAAACAAAGUGAUGAAAGAAUGACCAUACCGAGGGAAUUCACUCAGAACUAACAAGAAUGAUAACAUGCUCCGACUUGAGCGGUUUAGGAACUGCUGGAAGGCUCUAGGGGAAUAAAGAUGGAAUGACUUCUAAUGUUUAGGUCCGUAUGAUUUGAAAUACUUGCACAUAAACCGCACAAAAGCGUUCCUGGAAAUCUCAGCCCAAAAAAGGACGUUUAGUAAUUCUAAAAGGGACUACAGGAUGAAAAACAAUAGUUUUGGCAGUUAAAGUUUGAGAUUCGACGGUGCCGUAGAUCCGUUUGGUCAUCAGGUGUUACGAGCCACACCCAUGUCUAGCUAGAAUAGUGUGUUAGGCUCAGGCUAGAGAAGAAACUUGGAACAAACUGAUGAAAGAAUGAUCAAACCAACGGAAUUCACUCAGAACUAACAAUAAUGAUAACGUGCUCCGACUGGAGCAGUUUAGGAACUGCUGGAAGGCUCUAGGGGAAUAAAGAUGGAAUGACUUCUAAUUUUUAGGUCCGUAUGAUUUGAAAUACUUGCACGCAAACCGCGCGAAAGCGUUCCUGGAAAUAUCAGCCCAAAAAAGGACGUUUAGUAAUUCUAAAAGGGACUACAGGAUGAAAACAAUAGUUUUGGCAGUUAAAGUUUGAGAUUCAACAGUGCCGUAGAUCCGUUUGGUCAUCAGGUGUUAUGAGCCAUACCCAUGUCUAGCUAGAGUAGUGUGCUAGGCUCAGGCUAGAGAAGAAACAGGGAACAAACUGAUGAAAGAAUGAUCAUACCGAGGGAAUUCACUCAGAACUAACAAGAAUGAUAACGUGCUCCGACUGGAGCGGUUUAGGAACUGCUGGAAGGCUCUAGGGGAAUAAAGAUGGAGUGACUUCUAAAUUUUUAGGUCCGUAUGAUUUAAAAUACUUGCACACAAACCGCACGAAAGCGUUCCUUGAAAUCUCAGCCCAAAAAAGGACGUUUAGUAAGUCUAAAAGGGACUAUAGGAUGAAAAACAAUAGUUUUGGCAGUUAAAGUUUGAGAUUCGAUGGUGCCGUAGAUCUGUUUGGUCAUCAGGUGUUACGAGCCACACCCAUGUCUAGUUGGAAUAGUGUGCUAGGCUCAGACUAGAGAAGAAACAGGGAACAAACUGAUGAAAGAAUGAUCAAACCGAGGAAAUUCACUCAGAACUAACAAUAAUGAUAACAUGCUCCGACUGGAGCGGUUUAGGAACUGCUGGAAGGCUCUAGGGGAAUAAAGAUGGAAUGACUUCUAAAUUUUUAGGUCCGUAUGAUUUGAAAUAGUUGCACACAAACUGCGCGAAAGCGUUCCUGGAAAUCUCAGCCCAAAAAAGGACGUUUAGUAAUUCUAAAAGGGACUAUAGGAUGAAAAACAAUAGUUUUGGCAGUUAAAGUUUGAGAUUCGACGGUGCCGUAGAUCCGUUUGGUCAUCACGUGUUACAAGCCACACCCAUGUCUAGCUAGAGUAGUGUGCUAGGCUCAGACUAUAGAAGAAACGGGGACCAAACUGAUGAAAGAAUGAUCAAACCGAGGAAAUUCACUCAGAACUAACAAUAAUGAUAACAUGCUCCGACUGGAGCGGUUUAGGAACUACUGGAAGGCUCUAGGGGAAUAAAGAUGGAAUGACUUCUAAAUUUUUAGGUCCGUAUGAUUUUAAAUAGUUGCACACAAACUGCGCGAAAGCGUUCCUGGAAAUCUCAGCCCAAAAAAGGACGUUUAGUAAUUCUAAAAGGGACUACAGGAUGAAAAACAAUAGUUUGGGCAGUUAAAAUUUGAGAUUCGACGGUGCCGUAGAUCCGUUUGGUCAUCAGGUGUUACGAGCCACACCCAUGUCUAGCUAGAGUAGUGUGCUAGGCUCAGGCUAGAGAAGAAACAGGGAACAAACUGAUGAAAGAAUGAUCAUACCGAGGGAAUUCACUCAGAACUAACAAGAAUGAUAACGUGCUCUGACUGGAGCGGUUUAAGAACUGUUGGAAGGCUCUAGGGGAAUAAAGAUGGAAUCACUUCAAAUUUUUACGUCCGUGUGAUUUGAAAUACUUGCACACAAACCGCACGAAAGCGUUCCUGGAAAUCUCAGCCCAAAAAAGGACGUUUAGUAAGUCUAAAAGGGACUACACGAUGAAAAACAAUAGUUUUGGCAGUUAAAGUUUGAGAUUCGACAGUGCCGUAGAUCCGUUUGGUCAUCAGGUGUAACGAGCCACACCCAUGUCUAGAUAGAGUAGUGUGCUAGGCUCAAACUAGAGAAGAAACGGGGAACAAACUGAUGAAAGAAUGAUCAUACCGAGGGAAUUCACUCAGAAAUAACAAGAAUGAUAACGUGCUCUGACUGGAGCGGUUUAGGAACUGCUGGAAGGCUCUAGGGGAAUAAAGAAGGAAUGACUUCUAAUUUUUAGGUCCGUAUGAUUUGAAAUACGUGCACACAAACCCCGAGAAAGCGUUCCUGGAAAUCUCGACCCAAAAAAGGACGUUUAGUAAUUCUAAAAGGGACUACGGGAUGAAAAACAAUAGUUUUGGCAGUUAAAGUUUGAGAUUCGAUAAUGCCGUAGAUCCAUUUGGUCAUCAGGUGUAACGAGCCACACCCAUGUCUAGCUAGAGUAGUGUGCUAGGCUCAGACUAGAGAAGAAACAGGGAACAAACUGAUGAAAGAAUGAUCAUAUCGAGGGAAUUCACUCAGAACUAACAAGAAUGAUAACAUGCUCCGACUUGAGCGGUUUAGGAACUGCUGGAAGGCUCUAGGGGAAUAAAGAUGGAAUGACUUCUAAUUUUUAGGUCCGUAUGAUUUGAAAUACUUACACACAAACCACGCGAAAGCGUUCCUGGAAAUCUCAGCCCAAAAAAGGACGUUUAGUAAUUCUAAAAGGGACUACAUGAUGAAAAACAAUAGUUUUCGCAGUUAAAGUUUGAGAUUCGACGGUGCCGUAGAUCCGUUUGGUCAUCAAGUGUUACGAGCCACACCCAUGUCUAGCUAGAAUAGUGUGUUAGGCUCAGCCUAGAGAAGAAACGGGGAACAAACUGAUGAAAGAAUGAUCAUACCGAGGGAAUUCACUCAGAACUUACAAGAAUGAUAACGUGCUCCGACUUGAGCGGUUUAAGAACUGUUGGAAGGCUCUAGGGGAAUAAAGAUGGAAUCACUUCAAAUUUUUACGUCCGUGUGAUUUGAAAUACUUGCACACAAACCCCGAGAAAGCGUUCCUGGAAAUCUCGGCCGAAAAAAGGAUGUUUAAUAAUUCUAAAAGGGACUACAGGAUGAAAAACAAUAGCUUUGGCAGUUAAAGUUUGUGAUUCGAUGGUGCCGUAGAUCUGUUUGGUCAUCAGGUGUUAUGAGCCACACCCAUGUCUAGCUAGAAUAGUGUGUUAGGCUCAGGCUAGAGCAGAAACUAGGAACAAACUUAUGAAAGAAUGAUCAUACCGAGGGAAUUCACUCAGAACUAACAAGAAUGAUAACGUGCUCCGACUGGAGCGGUUUAGGAACUGCUGGAAGGCUCUAGGGGAAUAAAGAUGGAAUGACUUCUAAUUUUUAGGUCCGUAUGAUUUGAAAUACAUGCACACAAACCCCAAGAAAGCGUUCCUAGAAAUCUCAGCCCAAAAAGGACGUUUAGUAAUUCUAAAAGGGACUACAGGAUGAAAAACAAUAGGUUUGGCAGUUAAAGUUUGAGAUUCGAUAAUGCCGUAGAUCCGUUUGGUCAUCAGGUGUAACGAGCCACACCCAUGUCUAGCUACAUUAGUGUGCUAGGCUCAGACUAGAGAAGAAACGGGGAACAAACUGAUGAAAGAAUGAUCAUACCGAGGGAAUUCACUCAGAACUAACAAGAACGAUAACAUGCUCCGACUGCAGCGGUUUAGGAACUGCUGGAAGGCUCUAGGGGAAUAAAGAAGGAAUGACUUCUAAUUUUUAGGUCCGUAUGAUUUGAAAUACUUGCACACAAACCGCGCGAAAGCAUUCCUGGAAAUCUCAGCCCAAAAAAGGACGUUUAGUAAUUCUAAAAGGGACUACAGGAUGAAAAACAAUAAUUUUGGCAGUUAAAGUUUGAGAUUCGACGGUGCCGUAGAUCCGUUUGGUCAUCAGGUGUUACGGGCCAUACCCAUGUCUAGCUAGAAUAGUGUGUUAGGCUCAGGUUAGAGAAGAAACGGGGAACAAAGUGAUGAAAGAAUGAUCAUACCGAGGGAAUUCACUCAGAACUAACAAGAAUGAUAACGUGCUCCGACUGGAGCGGUUUAGGAAUUGCUGGAAGGCUCUAGGGGAAUAAAGAUGGAAUGACUUCUAUAUUUUACGUCCGUAUGAUUUGAAAUACUUGCACACAAACCACGCAAAAGCACUCCUGGAAAUAUCAGCCUAAAAAGGAUGUUUAGUAAUUCUAAAAGGGACUACAGGAUGAAAAAUAAUAGUUUUGGCAGUUAAAAUUUGAGAUUCAACGGUGCCGUAAAUCCGUUUGGUCAUCAGGUGUUACGAGCCACACCCAUGUCUAGCUAGAAUAGUGUGUUAGGCUCAGGUUAGAGAAGAAACGGGGAACAAACUGAUGAAAGAAUGAUCAUACAAGGGGAAUUCACUCAGAACUAUCAAGAAUGAUAACGUGCUCCGACUGGAGCAGUUUAGGAACUGCCGGAAGGCUCUAGGGGAAUAAAGAUGGAAUGACUUCUAAUUUUUAUGUCCGUAUGAUUUGAAAUACUUGCACACAAACCACGCAAAAGCGUUCCUGGAAAUCUCAGCCUAAAAAGGACGUUUAGUAAUUCUAAAAGGGACUACAGGAUGAAAAACAAUAGUUUGGGCAGUUAAAAUUCGAGAUUCGACGGUGCCGUAGAUCCGUUUGGUCAUCAGGUGUUACGAGCCACACCCAUGUCUAGCUAGAAUAGUGUGUUAGGCUCAGGCUAGAGAAGAAACGGGGAACAAACUGAUGAAAGAAUGAUCAUAUCGAGGGAAUUCACUCAGAACUAACAAGAAUGAUAACGUGCUCCGACUGGAGCGGUUUAGUAACUGCUGGAAGGCUCUAGGGGAAUAAAGAUGGAAUGACUUCUAAUUAUUAGGUCCGUAAGAUUUGAAUUACAUGCACACAAACCCCGAGAAAGCGUUCCUGGAAAUCUCGGUCGAAAAAAGGAUGUUUAGUAAUUCUAAAAGGGACUACAGGAUGAAAAACAAUAGUUUUGGCAGUUAAAGUUUGUGAUUCGAUGGUGCCGUAGAUCUGUUUGGUCAUCAGGUGUUACGAGCCACACCCAUGUCUAGCUAGAAUAGUGUGUUAGGCUCAGGCUAGAGCAGAAACGGGGAACAAACUUAUGAAAGAAUGAUCAUGCCGAGGGAAUUCACUCAGAACUAACAAGAAUGAUAACGUGCUCCGACUGGAGCGGUUUAGGAACUGCUGGAAGGCUCUAGGGGAAUAAAGAUGGAAUGACAUCAAAUUUUUAGGUCCGUAUGAUUUGAAAUACUUGCACACAAACCGCAAGAAAGCGUUCUUGGAAAUCUCCGCCCAAAAAAGGACGUUUAGUAAUUCUAAAAGGGUCUACAGGAUGAAAAACAAUAGUUCUGGCAGUUAAAGUUUGAGAUUCGAUAAUGUCGUAGAUCCGUUUGGUCAUCAGGCGUAACGAGCCACACCCAUUUCUAGCUAGAGUAGUGUGCUAGGCUCAGACUAGAGAAGAAACGGGGAACAACCUGAUGAAAGAAUGAUCAUACCGAGGGAAUUCACUCAGAACUAACAAGAAUGAUAACGUGCUCCGACUGGAGCGGUUUAGGAACUGCUGGAAGGCUCUACGGGAAUAAAGAAGGAAUGACUUCUAAUUUUUAGGUCCGUAUGAUUUGAAAUACGUGCACACAAACCCCGAGAAAGCGUUCCUGGAAAUCUCGGCCCAAAAAAGGACGUUUAGUAUUCUAAAAGCGACUACAGAAUGAAAAACAAUAGUUUUGGUAGUUAAAGUUUGAGAUUUAACGGUGCCGUAGAUCUGUUUGGUCAUCAGGUGUUACGAGCCACACCCAUGUCUAGCUAGAAUAGUGUGUUAGGCUCAGGCUAGAUAAGAAACAGGGAACAAAGUGAUGAAAGAAUGAUCAUACCAAGGGAAUUCACUCAGAACUAACAAGAACGAUAACAUGCUCCGACUGGAGUGGUUUAGGAACUGCUGGAAGGCUCUAGGGGAAUAAAGAUGGAAUGACUUCUAAUUUUUAGGUCUGUAUGAUUUGAAAUACUUGCACACAAACCGCACGAAAGCGUUCCUGGAAAUCUCAUCCCAAAAAAGGACGUUUAGUAAUUCUAAAAGGGACUACAGGAUGAAAAACAAUAGUUUUGGCAGUUAAAGUUUGAGAUUCGAUAAUGCUGUAGAUCCGUUUGGUCAUCAGGUGUAACGAGCCACACCCAUGUCUAGCUAGAGUAGUGUGCUAGGCUCAGACUAGAGAAGAAACGGGGAACAAACUGAUGAAAGAAUGAUCAUACCGAGGGAAUUCACUCAGAACUAACAAUAAUGAUAACGUGCUCCGACUGGAGCGGUUUAGGAACUGCUGGAAGGCUCUAGGGGAAUAAAGAUGGAAUGAGUUCUAAUUUUUAGGUCUGUAUGAUUUGAAAUACUUGCACACAAACCGCGUGAAAGCAUUCCUGGAAAUUUCAGCCCAAAAAAGGACGUUUAGUAAUUUUAAAAGGGACUACACGAUGAAAAACAAUAGUUUUGGCAGUUAAAGUUUGAGAUUCGACGGUGCCGUAGAUCCGUUUGGUCAUCAGGUGUUACGAGCCACACCCAUGUCUAGCUAGAAUAGUAUGUUAGGCUCGGGUAAGAGAAGAAACGGGGAACAAACUGAUGAAAGAAUGAUCAUACCAAGGGAAUUCACUCAGAACUAACAAGAAUGAUAACGUGCUCCGACUGGAGCGGUUUAGGAACUGCUGGAAGGCUCUAGGGGAAUAAAGAUGGAAUGACUUCUAAUUUUUACGUUCGUAUGAUUUGAAAUACUUGCACACAAACCACGCAAAAGCGUUCCUGGAAAUCUCAUCCUAAAAAAGGACGUUUAGUAAUUCUAAAAGGGACUACAGGAUGAAAAAUAAUAGUUUGGGCAGUUAAAAUUUGAGAUUCGACGGUGCCGUAGAUCCGUUUGGUCAUCAGGUGUUACGAGCCACACCCAUGUCUAGCUAGAAUAGUGUGUUAGGCUCAGGCUAGAGAAGAAACGGGGAACAAACUGAUGAAAGAAUGAUCAUAUCGAGGGAAUUCACUCAGAACUAACAAGAAUGAUAACGUGCUCCGACUGGAGCAGUUUAGAAACUGCUGGAAGGCUCUAGGGGAAUAAAGAUGGAAUGACUUCUAAUUUUUAGGUCUGUAUGAUUUGAAAUACGUGCACACGAACCCCGAGAAAGCGUUCCUGGAAAUCUCGGCCCAAAAAAGGACGUUUAGUAAUUCUAAAAGGGACUACAGGAUGAAAAACAAUAGUUUUGGCAGUUAAAGUUUGAGAUUCGACGGUGCCGUAGAUCCGUUUGUUCAUCAGGUGUUACGAGCCACACCCAUGUCUAGCUAGAAUAGUGUGUUAGGCUCAGGCUAGAGAAGAAACGGGGAACAAACUGAUGAAAGAAUGAUCAUACCGAGGGAAUUCACUCAGAACUAACAAGAAUGAUAACGUGCUCCGACUGGAGCGGUUUAGGAACUGCUAGAAGGCUCUAGGGGAAUAAAGAAGGAAUGACUUCUAAUUUUUAGGUCCGUAUGAUUUGAAAUACGUGCACACAAACCCCGAGAAAGCGUUCCUGGAAAUCUUGGCCCAAAAAAGGACGUUUAGUAUUCUAAAAGCGACUACAGAAUGAAAAACAAUAGUUUUGCUAGUUAAAGUUUGAGAUUUGAUGGUGCCGUAGAUCUGUUUGGUCAUCAGGUUUUACGAGCCACACCCAUGUCUAGCUAGAAUAGUGUGUUAGGCUCAGGCUAGAAAAGAAACAGGGAAUAAAGUGAUGAAAGAAUGAUCAUACCAAGGGAAUUCACUCAGAACUAACAAGAACGAUAACAUGCUCCGACUGGAGUGGUUUAGAACUGCUGGAAGGCUAAAGGGGAAUAAAGAUGGAAUGACUUCUAAUUUUUAGGUCCGUAUGAUUUGAAAUACUUGCACACAAACCGCACGAAAGUGUUCCUGGAAAUCUCAGCCCAAAAAAGGACGUUUAGUAAUUCUAAAAGGGACUACAGGAUGAAAAACAAUAGUUUUGGCAGUUAAAGUUUGAGAUUCGAUAAUGACGUAGAUCCGUUUGGUCAUCAGGUGUAACGAGCCACACCCAUGUCUAGCUAGAGUAGUGUGCUAGGCUCAGACUAGAGAAGAAACGGGGAACAAACUGAUGAAAGAAUGAUCAUACCGAGGGAAUUCACUCAGAACUAACAAUAAUGAUAACGUGCUCCGACUAGAGCGGUUUAGGAACUGCUGGAAGGCUCUAGGGGAAUAAAGAUGGAAUGACUUCUAAUUUUUAGGUCCCUAUGAUUUGAAAUACUUGCACACAAACCGCGUGAAAGCAUUCCUGGAAAUUUCAGCCCAAAAAAGGACGUUUAGUAAUUUUAAAAGGGACUACACGAUGAAAAAGAAUAGUUUUGGCAGUUAAAGUUUGAGAUUCGACGGUGCCGUAGAUCCGUUUGGUCAUCAGGUGUUACGAGACACACCCAUGUCUAGCUAGAAUAGUAUGUUAGGCUCGGGUUAGAGAAGAAACGGGGAACAAACUGAUGAAAGAAUGAUCAUACCAAGGGAAUUCACUCAGAACUAACAAGAAUGAUAACGUGCUCCGACUGGAGCGGUUUAGGAACUGCUGGAAGGCUCUAGGGGAAUAAAGAUGGAAUGACUUCUAAUUUUUACGUUCGUAUGAUUUGAAAUACUUGCAAACAAACCACGCAAAAGCGUUCCUGGAAAUUUCAUCCUAAAAAAGGACGUUUAGUAAUUCUAAAAGGGACUACAGGAUGAAAAAUAAUAGUUUGGGCAGUUAAAAUUUGAGAUUCGAUGGUGCCGUAGAUCCGUUUGGUCAUCAGGUGUUACGAGCCACACCCAUGUCUAGCUAGAAUAGUGUGUUAGGCUCAGGCUAGAGAAGAAACGGGGAACAAACUGAUGAAAGAAUGAUCAUAUCGAGGGAAUUCACUCAGAACUAACAAGAAUGAUAACGUGCUCCGACUGGAGCAGUUUAGAAACUGCUGGAAGGCUCUAGGGGAAUAAAGAUGGAAUGACUUCUAAUUUUUAGGUCUGUAUGAUUUGAAAUACGUGCACACAAACCCCGAGAAAGCGUUCCUGGAAAUCUCGUCCGGAAAAAGGAUGUUUAAUAAUUCUAAAAGGGACUACAGGAUGAAAAACAAUAGUUUUGGCAGUUAAAGUUUGUGAUUCGAUGGUGCCGUAGAUCUGUUUGGUCAUCAGGUGUUACGGGCCACACCCAUGUCUAGCUAGAAUAGUGUGUUAGGCUCAGGCUAGAGCAGAAACGGGGAGCAAACUUAUGAAAGAAUGAUCAUAGCGAGGGAAUUUACUCAGAACUAACAAGAAUGAUAACGUGCUCCGACUGGAGCGGUUUAGGAACUGCUGGAAGGCUCUAGGGGAAUAAAGAUGGAAUGACUUCAAAUUUUCAGGUAUGUAUGAUCUGAAAUACUUGCACACAAACCGCGAGAAAGCGUUCCUGGAAAUCUCAACCCAAAAAAGGAUGUUUAGUAAUUCUAAAAGGGACUACAGGAUUAAAAACAAUAGUUUUGGCAGUUAAAGUUUGAGAUUCGAUAAUGUCGUAGAUCCGUUUGGUCAUCAGGUGUAACGAGCCACACCCAUGUCUAGCUAGAGUAGUGUGCUAGGCUCAUACUAGAGAAGAAACGGGGAACAAACUGAUGAAAGAAUGAUCAUACCGAGGGAAUUCACUCAGAACUAACAAGAAUGAUAACGUGCUCCGACUGGAGCGGUUUAGGAACUGCUGGAAGGCUCUAGGGGAAUAAAGAUGGAAUGACUUCUUAUUUUUAGGUCCGUAUGAUUUGAAAUACAUGCACACAAACCCCAAGAAAGCGUUCCGGGAAAUCUCGGCCCAAAGAAUGAUGUUUAGUAAUUCUAAAAGGGACUAUAGAAUGAAAAACAAUAGUUUUGGCAGUUAAAGUUUGAGAUUUGACGGUGUCGUAGAUCUGUUUGGUCAUCAGGUGUUACGAGCCACACCCAUUUCUAGCUAGAAUAGUGUGUUAGGCUCAGGCUAGAAAAGAAACGGGGAACAAAGUGAUGAAAGAAUGAUCAUACCGAGGGAAUUCACUCAGAACUAACAAGAAUGAUAACAUGCUCCGACUAGAGCGGUUUAGGAACUGCUGGAAGGCUCUAGGGGAAUAAAUAUGGAAUGACUUCUAAUUUUCAGGUCCGUAUGAUUUGAAAUACUUGCACACAAACCGCGCGAAAGCGUUCCUGGAAAUCUCAUCCCAAAGAAGGUCGUUUAGUAAUUCUAAAAGGGACUACAGGAUGAAAAACAAUAGUUUUGGCAAUUUAAGGUUUGAGAUUCGACGGUGCCGUAGAUCCGUUUGGUCAUCAGGUGUUACGAGCCACACCCAUGUCUAGCUAGAAUAGUGUGCUAGGCUCAGGCUAGAGAAGAAACAGGGAACAAACUGAUGAAAGAAUGAUCAAACCGAGGGAAUUCACUCAGAACUAACAAUAAUGAUAACGUUCUCCGUCUGGAGCGGUUUAGGAACUGCUGGAAGGCUCUAGGGGAAUAAAGAUGGAAUGACUUCUAAUUUUUAGGUCCGUAUGAUUUGAAAUACUUGCACACAAACCGCGCCAAAUCGUUCCUGGAAAUCUCAGCCCAAAAAAGGACGUUUAGUAAUUCUAAAAGGGACUACAGGAUGAAAAACAAUAGUUUUGGCAGUUAAAGUUUGAGAUUCGAUGGUGCCGUAGACCCGUUUGGUCAUCAGGUGUUACGAGCCACACCCAUGUCUAGCUAGAGUAGUGUGCUAGGUUCAGACUAGAGAAGAAACAGGGAACAAAGUGAUGAAAGAAUGAUCAUACCGAGGGAAUUCACUCAGAACUAACAAGAAUGAUAACGUGCUCCGACUGGAGCGGUUUAGGAACUGCUGGAAGGCUCUAGGGGAAUAAAGAUGGAAUGACUUCUAAUUUUUACGUCCGUAUGAUUUGAAAUACUUGCACACAAACCACGCAAAAGCGUUCCUGGAAAUCUCAGCCUAAAAAAGGACGUUUAGUAAUUCAAAAAGGGACUACAAAAUGAAAAACAAUAGUUUUGGCAGUUAAAGUUUGAGAUUCGAUGGUGCCGUAGAUCCGUUUGGUCAUCAGGUGUUACGAGCCACACCCAUGUCUAGCUAGGAUAGUGUGUUAGGCUCAGGCUAGAGAAGAAACGGGGAACAAACUGAUGAAAGAAUGAUCAUACCGAGGGAAUUCACUCAGAACUAACAAGGAUGAUAACAUGCUCCGACUAGAGCGGUUUAGGAACUGCUGGAAGGCUCUAGGGGAAUAAAGAUGGAAUGACUUCUAAUUUUUAGGUCCGUAUGAUUUGAAAUACUUGCACACAAACCGCAAGAAAGCGUUCCUGGAAAUCUCAGCCCAAAAAAGGACGUUUAGUAAUUCUAAAAGGGACUACAGGAUGAAAAACAAUAGUUCUGGCAGUUAAAGUUUGAGAUUCGAUAAUGCCGUAGAUCUGUUUGGUCAUCAGGUGUAACGAGCCACACCCAUGUCUAGCUAGAGUAGUGUGCUAGGCUCAGACUAGAGAAGAAACGGGGAACAAACUGAUGAAAGAAUGAUUAUACCGAGGGAAUUCACUCAGAACUAACGAGAAUGAUAACGUGCUCCGACUGGAGCGGUUUAGGAACUGCUGGAAGGCUCUAGGGGAAUAAAGAUGGAAUGACUUCAAAUUUUUAGGUCUGUAUGAUUUGAAAUACUUGCACACAAACCGCAAGAAAGCGUUCCUUGAAAUCUCAGCCCAAAAAAGGACGUUUAGUAAUUCUAAAAGGGACUACAGGAUGAAAAACAAUAGUUCUGGCAGUUAAAGUUUGAGAUUCGAUAAUGUCGUAGAUCCGUUUGGUCAUCAGGUGUAACGAGCCACACCCAUGUCUAGCUAGAGUAGUGUGCUAGGCUCAGAAUAGAGAAGAAACGGGGAACAAACUGAUGAAAGAAUGAUCAUACCGAGGGAAUUCACUCAGAACUAACAAGAAUGAUAACGUGCUCCGACUGGAGCGGUUUAGGAACUGCUGGAAGGCUCUAGGGGAAUAAAGAAGGAAUGACUUCUAAUUUUUAGGUCCGUAUGAUUUGAAAUACGUGCACACAAACCGCGCGAAAGCGUUCCUGGAAAUCUCAGCCAAAAAAAGGACGUUUAGUAUUCUAAAAGGGACUACAGAAUGAAAAACAAUAGUUUUGGCAGUUAAAGUUUGAGAUUCGACGGUGCUGUAGAUCCGUUUGGUCAUCAGGUGUUACGAGCCACACCCAUGUCUAGCUAGAAUAGUGUGCUAGGCUCAGGCUAGAGAAGAAAAGGGGAACAAACUAAUGAAAGAAUGAUCAAUCCGAGGGAAUUCACUCAGAACUAACAAUAAUGAUAACGUGCUCCGACUGGAGCGGUUUAGGAACUGCUGGAAGGCUCUAGGCGAAUAAAGAUGGAAUGACUUCUAAUUUUUACGUCCGUAUGAUUUGAAAUACUUGCACACAAACCACGCAAAAGCGUUCCUGGAAGUCUCGGCCUAAAAAGGACGUUUAGUAAUUCUAAAAGGGACUACAGGAUGAAAAAUAAUAGUUUGGGCAGUUAAAAUUUGAGAUUCGACGGUGCCGUAGAUCCAUUUGGUCAUCAAGUGUUACGAGCCACACCCAUGUCUAGCUAGAAUAGUGUGUUAGGCUCAGGCUAGAGAAGAAACGGGGAACAAACUGAUGAAAGAAUGAUCAUACCAAGGGAAUUCACUCAGAACUAACAAGAAUGAUAACGUGCUCCGACUGGAGCAGUUUAGAAACUGCUGGAAGGCUCUUGGGGAAUAAAGAUGGAAUGACUUCAAAUUUUUAGGUCCGUAUGAUUUGAAAUACUUGCACACAAACCACGCGAAAGCGUUCCUGGAAAUCUCAGCCCAAAAAAGGACGUUUAGUAAUUCUAAAAGGGACUACAUGAUGAAAAACAAUAGUUUUGGCAGUUAAAGUUUGAGAAUCGUCGGUGCCGUAGAUCCGUUUGGUCAUCAGCUGUAACGAGCCACACCCAUGUCUAGCUAGAGUAGUGUGCUAGGCUCAGACUAGAGAAGAAACAGGGAACAAAGUGAUGAAAGAAUGAUCAUACCGAGGGAAUUCACUUAGAACUAACAAGAAUGAUAACAUGCUCCGACUUGAGCGAUUUAGGAACUUCUGGAAGGCUCUAGGGGAAUAAAGAUGGAAUGACUCAAAUUUUUAGGCCCGUAUGAUUUGAAAUACAUGCACACAAACCGCGAGAAAGUGUUCCUGGAAAUCUUAGCCCAAAAAAGGACGUUUAGUAAUUCUAAAAGGGACUACAGGAUGAAAAACAAUAGUUUUGGUAGUUAAAGUUUCAGAUUCGAUAAUGCCCUAGAUCCGUUUGGUCAUCAGGUGUAACGAGCCACACCAAUGUCUAGCUAGAGUAGUGUGCUAGGCUCAGACUAGAUAAGAAACGGGGAAGAAACUGAUGAAAGAAUGAUCAGACCGAGGGAAUUCACUCAGAACUAACAAUAAUGAUAACGUGCUCCGAGUGGAGCGGUUUAGGAACUGCUGGAAGGCUCUAGGGGAAUAAAGAUGGAAUGACUUCUAAUUUUUAGGUCCGUAUGAUUUGAAAUACGUGCACACAAACCCCGAGAAACCGUUCCUUGAAAUCUCGGCCCAAAAAAGGACGUUUAGUAAUUCUAAAAGGGACUACAAAAUGAAAAACAAUAGUUUUGGCAGUUAAAGUUUGAGAUUCGACGGUGUCGUAGACCCGUUUGGUCUUCAGGUGUUACGAGCCACACCCAUGUCUAGCCAGAGUAGUGUGCUAGGUUCAGACUAGAGAAGAAACGGGGAACAAAGUGAUGAAAGAAUGAUCAUACCGAGGGAAUUCACUCAGAACUAACAAGAAUGAUAACGUGCUCCGACUGGAGCGGGUUAGGAACUCCUGGAAGGCUCUAGGGGAAUAAAGAUGGAAUGACUUCUAAUUUUUACGUCCGUAUGAUUUGAAAUACUUGCACACAAACCACGCAAAAGCGUUCCUGGAAAUCUCAGCCUAAAAAAGGACGUUUAGUAAUUCUAAAAGGGACUACAGGAUGAAAAAUAAUAGUUUGGUCAUCAGGUGUUACGAGCCACACCCAUGUCUAGCUAGAAUAGUGUGCUAGGCUCAGGCUAGAGAAGAAACGGGGAAUAAACUGAUGAAAGAAUGAUCAAACCGAGGGAAUUCACUCAGAACUAACAAUAAUGAUAACGUUCUCCGUCUGGAGCGGUUUAGGAACUGCUGGAAGGCUCUAGGGGAAUAAAGAUGGAAUGACUUCUAAUUUUUAGGUCCGUAUGAUACGAAAUACUUGCACACAAACCGCGCGAAAUCGUUCCUGGAAAUCUCAGCCCAAAAAAGGACGUUUAGUAAUUCUAAAAGGGACUACAGCAUGAAAAACAAUAGUUCUGGCAGUUAAAGUUUGAGAUUCGAUAAUGCCGUAGAUCCGUUUGGUCAUCAGGUGUAACGAGCCACACCCAUGUCUAGCUAGAGUAGUAUGCUAGGCUCAGACUAGAGAAGAAACGGGGAACAAACUGAUGAAAGAAUGAUUAUACCGAGGGAAUUCACUCAGAACUAACAAGAAUGAUAACGUGCUCCGGCUGGAGCGGUUUAGGAACUGCUAGAAGGCUCUAGGGGAAUAAAGAUGGAAUGACUUCAAAUUUUUAGGUCUGUAUGAUUUGAAAUACUUGCACACAAACCGCAAGAAAGCGUUCCUGGAAAUCUCAGCCCAAAAAAGGACGUUUAGUAAUUCUAAAAGGGACUAUAGGAUGAAAAACAAUAGUUCUGGUAGUUAAAGUUUGAGAUUCGAUAAUGUCAUAGAUCCGUUCGGUCAUCAGGUGUAACGAGCCACACCCAUGUCUAGCUAGAGUAGUGUGCUAGGCUCAGACUAGAGAAGAAACGGGGAACAAACUGAUGAAAGAAUGAUCAUACCGAGGGAAUUCACUCAGAACUAACAAGAAUGAUAACGUGCUCCGACUGGAGCGGUUUAGGAACUGCUGGAAGGCUCUAGGGGAAGAAAGAAGGAAUGACUUCUAAUUUUUAGGUCCGUAUGAUUUGAAAUACGUGCACACAAACCGCGCGAAAGCGUUCCUGGAAAUCUCAGCCCAAAAAAGGACGUUUAGUAUUCUAAAAGGGACUACAGAAUGAAAAACAAUAGUUUUGGCAGUUAAAGUUUGAGAUUCGACGGUGCCGUAGAUCCGUUUGGUCAUCAGGUGUUACGAGCCACACCCAUGUCUAGCUAGAAUAGUGUGCUAGGCUCAGGCUAGAGAAGAAAAGGGGAACAAACUGAUGAAAGAAUGAUCAAACCGAGGGAAUUCACUCAGAACUAACAAUAAUGAUAACGUGCUCCGACUGGAGCGGUUUAGGAACUGCUGGAAGGCUCUUGGCGAAUAAAGAUGGAAUGACUUCUAAUUUUUACGUCCGUAUGAUUUGAAAUACUUCCACACAAACCAGGCAAAGGCGUUCCUGGAAAUCUCGGCCUAAAAAGGACGUUUAGUAAUUCUAAAAGGGACUACAGGAUGAAAAAUAAUAGUUUGGGCAGUUAAAAUUUUAGAUUCGACGGUGCCGUAGAUCCGUUUGGUCAUCAGGUGUUACGAGCCACACCCAUGUCUAGCUAGAAUAGUGUGUUAGGCUCAGGCUAGAGAAGAAACGGGGAACAAACUGAUGAAAGAAUGAUCAUACCAAGGGAAUUCACUCAGAACUAACAAGAAUGAUAACGUGCUCCGACUGGAGCAGUUUAGAAACUACUGGAAGGCUCUAGGGGAAUAAAGAUGGAAUGACUUCAAAUUUUUAGGUCCGUAUGAUUUGAAAUACUUGCACACAAACCGCGCGAAAGCGUUCCUGGAAAUCUCAGCCCAAAAAAGGACGUUUAGUAAUUCUAAAAGGGACUACAUGAUGAAAAACAAUAGUUUUGGCAGUUAAAGUUUGAGAUUCGUCGGUGCCGUAGAUCCGUUUGGUCAUCAGCUGUAACGAGCCACACCCAUUUCUAGCUAGAGUAGUGUGCUAGGCUCAGACUAAAGAAGAAAUGGGGAACAAAGUGAUGAAAGAAUGCUCAUACCGAGGGAAUUCACUCAGAACUAACAAGAAUGAUAACAUGCUCCGACUUGAGCGAUUUAGGAACUUCUGGAAGGCUCUAGGGGAAUAAAGAUGGAAUGACUCAAAUUUUUAGGUCCGUAUGAUUUGAAAUACUUGCACACAAACCGCGAGAAAGCGUUCCUGGAAAUCUCAGCCCAAAAAAGGACGUUUAGUAAUUCUAAAAGGGACUACAUGAUGAAAAACAAUAGUUUUGGCAGUUAAAGUUUGAGAUUUGAUAAUGCCGUAGAUCCGUUUGGUCAUCAGGUGUAACGAGCCACACCCAUGUCUAGCUAGAGUAGUGUGCUAGGCUAAGACUAGAUAAGAAAAGGGGAAGAAACUUAUGAAAGAAUGAUCAGACCGAGGGAAUUCACUCAGAACUAACAAUAAUGAUAACGUGCUCCGACUGGAGCGGUUUAGGAACUGCUGGAAGGCUCUAGGGGAAUAAAGAUGGAAUGACUUCUAAUUUUUAGGUCCGUAUGAUUUGAAAUACGUGCACACAAACCCCGAGAAACCGUUCCUGGAAAUCUCGGCCCAAAAAAGGAUGUUUAGUAAUUCUAAAAGGGACUACAAAAUGAAAAACAAUAGUUUUGGCAGUUAAAGUUUGAGAUUUGAUGGUGCCGUAGAUCUGUUUGGUCAUCAGGUGUUACGAGCCACACCCAUGUCUAGCUAGAAUAGUGUGUUAGGCUCAGGCUAGAAAAGAAACGGGAAACAAAGUGAUGAAAGAAUGAUCAUACCGAGGGAAUUCACUCAGAACUAACAAGAAUGAUAACAUGCUCUGACUGGAGCGGUUUAGGAACUGCUGGAAGGCUCUAGGGGAAUAAAGAUGGAAUGACUUCUAAUGUUUAGGUCCGUAUGAUUUGAAAUACUUGCACAUAAACCGCGCAAAAGCGUUCCUGGAAAUCUCAGCCCAAAAAAGGACGUUUAGUAAUUCUAAAAGGGACUACAGGAUGAAAAACAAUAGUUUUGGCAGUUAAAGUUUGAGAUUCGACGGUGCCGUAGAUCCGUUUGUUCAUCAGGUGUUACGAGCCACACCCAUGUCUAGCUAGAAUAGUGUGUUAGGCUCAGGCUAGAGAAGAAACGGGGAACAAACUGAUGAAAGAAUGAUCAAACCGAGGGAAUUCACUCAGAACUAACAAUAAUGAUAACGUGCUCCGACUAGAGCGGUUUAGGAACUGCUGGAAGGCUCUAGGGGAAUAAAGAUGGAAUGACUUCUAAUUUUUAGGUCUGUAUGAUUUGAAAUACUUGCACGCAAACCGCGCGAAAGCGUUCCCGGAAAUAUCAGCCUAAAGAAGGACGUUUAGUAAUUCUAAAAGGGACUACAGGAUGAAAAACAAUAGUUUUGGCAGUUAAAGUUUGAGAUUCAACGGUGCCGUAGAUCCGUUUGGUCAUCAGGUGUUACGAGCCACACCCAUGUCUAGCUAGAGUAGUGUGCUAGGCUCAGGCUAGAGAAGAAACAGGGAACAAACUGAUGAAAGAAUGAUCAUACCGAGGGAAUUCACUCAGAACUGAUGAAAGAAUGAUCAAACCAAGGAAAUUCACUCAGAACUAACAAUAAUGAUAACAUGCUCCGACUGGAGCGGUUUAGGAACUGCUGGAAGGCUCUAGGGGAAUAAAGAUGGAAUGACUUCUAAUUUUUAGGUCCGUAUGAUUUGAAAUACGUGCACACAAACCCCGAGAAACCGUUCCUGGAAAUCUCGGCCCAAAAAAGGACGUUUAGUAAUUCUAAAAGGGACAACAAAAUGAAAAACAAUAGUUUUGGCAGUUAAAGUUUGAGAUUCGACGGUGCCGUAGACCCGUUUGGUCAUCAGGUGUUACGAGCCACACCCAUGUCUAGCUAGAGUAGUGUGCUAGGUUCAGACUAGAGAAGAAACGGGGAACAAAGUGAUGAAAGAAUGAUCAUACCGAGGGAAUUCACUCAGAACUAACAAGAAUGAUAACGUGCUCCGACUGGAGCGGGUUAGGAAUUGCUGGAAGGCUCUAGGGGAAUAAAGAUAGAAUGACUUCUAAUUUUUACGUCCGUAUGAUUUGAAAUACUUGCACACAAACCACGCAAAAGCGUUCCUAGAAAUCUCAGCCUAAAAAAGGACGUUUAGUAAUUCUAAAAGGGACUACAGGAUGAAAAAUAAUAGUUUGGCCAGUUAAAAUUUAAGAUUCGACGGUGCCGUAGAUCCGCUUGGUCAUCAGGUGUUACGAGCCACACCCAUGUCUAGCUAGAAUAGUGUGUUAGGCUCAGGCUAGAGAAGAAACGGGGAACAAACUGAUGAAAGAAUGAUCAUACCGAGGGAAUUCACUCAGAACUAACAAGAAUGAUAACAUGCUCCGACUGGAGCGGUUUAGGAACUGCUGGAAGGCUCUAGGGGAAUAAAGAUGGAAUGACUUCUAAUUUUUAGGUCCGUAUGAUUUGAAAUACUUGCACACAAACCGCAAGAAAGCGUUCCUGGAAAUCUCAGCACAAAAAAGGACGUUUAGUAAUUCUAAAAGGGACUACAGCAUGAAAAACAAUAGUUCUGGCAGUUAAAGUUUGAGAUUCGAUAAUGCCGUAGAUCCGUUUGGUCAUCAGGUGUAACGAGCCACACCCAUGUCUAGCUAGAGUAGUGUGCUAGGCUCAGACUAGAGAAGAAACGGGGAACAAAAUGAUGAAAGAAUGAUUAUACCGAGGGAAUUCACUCAGAACUAACAAGAAUGAUAACGUGCUCCGACUGGAGCGGUUUAGGAACUGCUGGAAGGCUCUAGGGGAAUAAAGAUGGAAUGACUUCAAAUUUUUAGGUCUGUAUGAUUUGAAAUACUUGCACACAAACCGCAAGAAAGCGUUCCUGGAAAUCUCAGCCCAAAAAUGGACGUUUAGUAAUUCUAAAAGGGACUAUAGGAUGAAAAACAAUAGUUCUGGCAGUUAAAGUUUGAGAUUCGAUAAUGUCGUAGAUCCGUUCGGUCAUCAGGUGUAACGAGCCACACCCAUGUCUAGCUAGAGUAGUGUGCUAGGCUCAGACUAGAGAAGAAACGGGGAACAAACUGAUGAAAGAAUGAUCAUACCGAGGGAAUUCACUCAGAACUAACAAGAAUGAUAACGUGCUCCGACUGGAGCGGUUUAGGAACUGCUGGAAGGCUCUAGGGGAAGAAAGAAGGAAUGACUUCUAAUUUUUAGGUCCGUAUGAUUUGAAAUACGUGCACACAAACCGCGCGAAAGCGUUCCUGGAAAUCUCAGCCCAAAAAAGGACGUUUAGUAUUCUAAAAGGGACUACAGAAUGAAAAACAAUAGUUUUGGCAGUUAAAGUUUGAGAUUCGACGGUGCCGUAGAUCCGUUUGGUCAUCAGGUGUUACGAGCCACACCCAUGUCUAGCUAGAAUAGUGUGCCAGGCUCAGGCUAGAGAAGAAAAGGGGAACAAACUGAUGAAAGAAUGAUCAAACCGAGGGAUUUCACUCAGAACUAACAAUAAUGAUAACGUGCUCCGACUGGAGCGGUUUAGGAACUGCUGGAAGGCUCUAGGCGAAUAAAGAUGGAAUGACUUCUAAUUUUUACGUCCGUAUGAUUUUAAAUACUUGCACACAAACCACGCAAAAGCGUUCCUGGAAAUCUCGGCCUAAAAAGGACGUUUAGUAAUUCUAAAAGGGACUACAGGAUGAAAAAUAAUAGUUUGGGCAGUUAAAAUUUGAGAUUCGACGGUGCCGUAGAUCCGUUUGGUCAUCAGGUGUUACGAGCCACACCCAUGUCUAGCUAGAAUAGUGUGUUAGGCUCAGGCUAGAGAAGAAACAGGGAACAAACUGAUGAAAGAAUGAUCAUACCAAGGGAAUUCACUCAGAACUAACAAGAAUGAUAACGUGCUCCGACUGGAGCAGUUUAGAAACUGCUGGAAGGCUCUAGGGGAAUAAAGAUGGGAUGACUUCAAAUUUUUAGGUCCGUAUGAUUUGAAAUACUUGCACACAAACCGCGCGAAAGCGUUCCUGGAAAUCGCAGCCCAAAAAAGGACGUUUAGUAAUUCUAAAAGGGACUACAUGAUGAAAAACAAUAGUUUUGGCAGUUAAAGUUUGAGAUUCGUCGGUGCCGUAGAUCCGUUUGGUCAUCAGCUGUAACGAGCCACACCCAUGUCUAGCUAGAGUAGUGUGCUAGGCUCAGACUAGAGAAGAAAUGGGGAAAAAAGUGAUGAAAGAAUGAUCAUACCGAGGGAAUUCACUCAGAACUAACAAGAAUGAUAACAUGCUCCGACAUGAGCGAUUUAGGAACUUCUGGAAGGCUCUAGGGGAAUAAAGAUGGAAUGACUCAAAUUUUUAGGUCCGUAUGAUUUGAAAUACUUGCACACAAACCGCGAGAAAGCGUUCCUGGAAAUCUCAGCCCAAAAAAGGACAUUUAGUAAUUCUAAAAGGGACUACAGGAUGAAAAACAAUAGUUUUGGCAGUUAAAGUUUGAGAUUUGAUAAUGCCGUAGAUCCGUUUGGUCAUCAGGUGUAACGAGCCACACCCAUGUCUAGCUAGAGUAGUGUGCUAGGCUAAGACUAGAUAAGAAACCGGGAAGAAACUAAUGAAAGAAUGAUCAGACCGAGGGAAUUCACUCAGAACUAACAAUAAUGAUAACGUGCUCCGACUGGAGCGGUUUAGGAACUGCUGGAAGGCUCUAGGGGAAUAAAGAUGAAAUGACUUCUAAUUUUUAGGUUCGUAUGAUUUGAAAUACAUGCACACAAACCCCGAGAAACCGUUCCUGGAAAUCUCGGCCCAAAAAAGGAUGUUUAGUAAUUCUAAAAGGGACUACAAAAUGAAAAACAAUAGUUUUGGUAGUUAAAGUUUGAGAUUUGAUGGUGCCAUAGAUCUGUUUGGUCAUCAGGUGUUACGAGCCACACCCAUGUCUAGCUAGAAUAGUGUGUUAGGCUCAGGCUAGAAAAGAAACGGGAAACAAAGUGAUGAAAGAAUGAUCAUACCGAGGGAAUUCACUCAGAACUAACAAGAAUGAUAACAUGCUCUGACUGGAGCGGUUUAGGAACUGCUGGAAGGCUCUAGGGGAAUAAAGAUGGAAUGACUUCUAAUGUUUAGGUCCGAGGUCCGUAUGAUUUGAAAUACUUGCACAUAAACCGUGCAAAAGCGUUCCUGGAAAUCUCAGCCCAAAAAAGGACGUUUAGUAAUUCUAAAAGGGACUACAGGAUGAAAAACAAUAGUUUUGGCAGUUAAAGUUUGAGAUUCGACGGUGCCGUAGAUCCGUUCGUUCAUCAGGUGUUACGAGCCACACCCAUGUCUAGCUAGAAUAGUGUGUUAGGCUCAGGCUAGAGAAGAAACGGGGAACAAACUGAUGAAAGAAUGAUCAAACCGAGGGAAUUCACUCAGAACUAACAAUAAUGAUAACGUGCUCCGACUAGAGCGGUUUAGGAACUGCUGGAAGGCUCUAGGGGAAUAAAGAUGGAAUGACUUCUAAUUUUUAGGUCUGUAUGAUUUGAAAUACUUGCACGCAAACCGCGCGAAAGCGUUCCCGGAAAUAUCAGCCCAAAAAAGGACGUUUAGUAAUUCUAAAAGGGACUACAGGAUGAAAAACAAUAGUUUUGGCAGUUAAAGUUUGAGAUUCAACGGUGCCGUAGAUCCGUUUGGUCAUCAGGUGUUACGAGCCACACCCAUGUCUAGCUAGAGUAGUGUGCUAGGCUCAGGCUAGAGAAGAAACAGGGAACAAACUGAUGAAAGAAUGAUCAUACCGAGGGAAUUCACUCAGAACUGAUGAAAGAAUGAUCAAACCGAGGAAAUUCACUCAGAACUAACAAUAAUGAUAACAUGCUCCGACUGGAGCGGUUUAGGAACUGCUGGAAGGCUCUAGGGGAAUAAAGAUGGAAUGACUUCUAAUUUUUAGGUCCGUAUGAUUUGAAAUACGGGCACACAAACCCCGAGAAACCGUUCCUGGAAAUCUCGGCCCGAAAAAGGACGUUUAGUAAUUCUAAAAGGGACUACAAAAUGAAAAACAAUAGUUUUGGCAGUUAAAGUUUGAGAUUCGACGGUGCCGUAGACCCGUUCGGUCAUCAGGUGUAACGAGCCACACCCAUGUCUAGCUAGAGUAGUGUGCUAGGCUCAGACUAGAGAAGAAACGGGGAACAAACUGAUGAAAGAAUGAUCAUACCGAGGGAAUUCACUCAGAACUAACAAGAAUGAUAACGUGCUCCGACUGGAGCGGUUUAGGAACUGCUAGAAGGCUCUAGGGGAAGAAAGAAGGAAUGACUUCUAAUUUUUAGGUCUGUAUGAUUUGAAAUACGUGCACACAAACCGCGCGAAAGCGUUCCUGGAAAUCUCAGCCCAAAAAAGGACGUUUAGUAUUCUAAAAGGGACUACAGAAUGAAAAACAAUAGUUUUAGCAGUUAAAGUUUGAGAUUCGACGGUGCCGUAGAUCCGUCUGGUCAUCAGGUGUUACGAGCCACACCCAUGUCUAGCUAGAAUAGUGUGCUAGGCUCAGGCUAGAGAAGAAAAGGGGAACAAACUGAUGAAAGAAUGAUCAAACCGAGGGAAUUCACUCAGAACUAACAAUAAUGAUAACGUGCUCCGACUGGAGCGGUUUAGGAACUGCUGGAAGGCUCUAGGCGAAUAAAGAUGGAAUGACUUCUAAUUUUUACGUCCGUAUGAUUUGAAAUACUUGCACACAAACCACGCAAAAGCGUUCCUGGAAAUCUCGGCCUAAAAAGGACGUUUAGUAAUUCUAAAAGGGACUACAGGAUGAAAAAUAAUAGUUUGGGCAGUUAAAAUUUGAGAUUCGACGGUGCCGUAGAUCCGUUUGGUCAUCAGGUGUUACGAGCCACACCCAUCUCUAGCUAGAAUAGUGUGUUAGGCUCAGGCUAGAGAAGAAACGGGGAACAAACUGAUGAAAGAAUGAUCAUACCAAGGGAAUUCACUCAGAACUAACAAGAAUGAUAACGUGCUCCGACUGGAGCAGUUUAGAAACUCCUGGAAGGCUCUAGGGGAGUAAAGAUGGAAUGACUUCAAAUUUUUAGGUCCGUAUGAUUUGAAAUACUUGCACACAAACCGCGCGAAAGCGUUCCUGGAAAUCUCAGCCCAAAAAAGGACGUUUAGUAAUUCUAAAAGGGACUACAUGAUGAAAAACAAUAGUUUUGGCAGUUAAAGUUUGAGAUUCGUCGGUGCCGUAGAUCCGUUUGGUCAUCAGCUGUAACGAGCCACACCCAUGUCUAGCUAGAGUAGUGUGCUAGGCUCAGACUAGAGAAGAAAUGGGGAACAAAGUGAUGAAAGAAUGAUCAUACCGAGGGAAUUCACUCAGAACUAACAAGAAUGAUAACAUGCUCCGACUUGAGCGAUUUAGGAACUUCUGGAAGGCUCUAGGGGAAUAAAGAUGGAAUGACUCAAAUUUUUAGGUCCGUAUGAUUUGAAAUACUUGCACACAAACCGCGAGAAAGCGUUCCUGGAAAUCUCAGCCCAAAAAAGGACGUUUAGUAAUUCUAAAAGGGACUACAGGAUGAAAAACAAUAGUUUUGGCAGUUAAAGUUUGAGAUUCGAUAAUGUCGUAGAUCCGUUUGGUCAUCAGGUGUAACGAGCCACACCCAUGCCUAGCUAGAGUAGUGUGCUAGGCUAAGACUAGAUAAGAAACGGGGAAGAAACUGAUGAAAGAAUGAUCAGACCGAGGGAAUUCACUCAGAACUAACAAUAAUGAUAACGUGCUCCGACUGGAGCGGUUUAGGAACUGCUAGAAGGCUCUAGGGGAAUAAAGAUGGAAUGACUUCUAAUUUUUAGGUCCGUAUGAUUUGAAAUACGUGCACACAAACCCCGAGAAACCGUUCCUGGAAAUCUCGGCCCAAAAAAGUAUGUUUAGUAAUUCUAAAAGGGACUACAAAAUGAAAAACAAUAGUUUUGGCAGUUAAAGUUUGAGAUUUGAUGGUGCCGUAGAUCUGUUAGGUCAUCAGGUGUUACGAGCCACACCCAUGUCUAGCUAGAAUAGUGUGUUAGGCUCAGGCUAGAAAAGAAACGGGAAACAAAGUGAUGAAAGAAUGAUCAUACCGAGGGAAUUCACUCAGAACUAACAAGAAUGAUAACAUGCUCUGACUGGAGCGGUUUAGGAACUGCUGGAAGGCUCUAGGGGAAUAAAGAUGGAAUGACUUCUAAUGUUUAGGUCCGUAUGAUUUGAAAUACUUGCACAUAAACCGCGCAAAAGCGUUCCUGGAAAUCUCAGCCCAAAAAGGACGUUUAGUAAUUCUAGAAGGGACUACAGGAUGAAAAACAAUAGUUUUGGCAGUUAAAGUUUGAGAUUCGACGGUGCCGUAGAUCCGUUUGUUCAUCAGGUGUUACGAGCCACACCCAUGUCUAGCUAGAAUAGUGUGUUAGGCUCAGGCUAGAGAAGAAACGGGGAACAAACUGAUGAAAGAAUGAUCAAACCGAGGGAAUUCACUCAGAACUAACAAUAAUGAUAACGUGCUCCGACUAGAGCGGUUUAGGAACUGCUGGAAGGCUCUAGGGGAAUAAAGAUGGAAUGACUUCUAAUUUUUAGGUCUGUAUGAUUUGAAAUACUUGCACGCAAACCGCGCGAAAGCAUUCCCGGAAAUAUCAGCCCAAAAAAGGACGUUUAGUAAUUCUAAAAGGGACUACAGGAUGAAAAAGAAUAGUUUUGGCAGUUAAAGUUUGAGAUUCAACGGUGCCGUAGAUCCGUUUGGUCAUCAGGUGUUACAAGCCACACCCAUGUCUAGCUAGAGUAGUGUGCUAGGCUCAGGCUAGAGAAG
rnacentral:lncRNA from 1 species